GCAUUGCAAAUGAAAAUGGAAAAUAUUGCAGGCACUGUGGAAAACACUAUGGUGAUUGCACAAAAAAUGAAACAGAAUUAUCACACGACCCUGGGCAUUCAUCCCCGAAAAAGUGAAAGCACCAACUAUAUAAGGUAGCUUAGAGCAACGGUCAGAGUAAAAUUAGUCACAAUAGCCAAAUGGGGAAAACAAACAAGAUGAUAUCAUACAGAAAUAUGUAUGAACGAAAUGUAGUAUUAAUUUACAACGGAAUAUUAUUCGGGAUUAAAAGGGAAUGACAAGCAAAAGAUAAAAGGAAGAGCUGAGACAGAAUUGGAUCCCAGGCAGGCGGGCUUGAAACUUAAACAGUUGGGGAAGGGGACGUCUUUAAGGAAAGACAACACAAAAGGACCCGUACCAACUCCAGUGCGGAAACGAGGGUUUCUCGCGAACGACGGUAUCAAGGACAGCCAGGUACCGACUUGGAGAAGCUGACACACGGCGCAGGCAUCAGAAAAUCCAGAAGCCGUCCCGCUUGGGAUGGAUGGCCAGGCCCCGAAGGUUCCUCUCGAGCCCAGUGGGCCCCGUCCUUCUGUAGGUGCUGUUUGGAGAGGCCUGACCCGGGGUCUUUCCUAGAUGGGCUCUGGAAGACGGAGGGGCUGCUGGCAGCUUGCUGAAGCUGUCCGGGCCUCCGCAGCCCGGAGCGGGAUCCGUUCCAUCGCACACCACGACUCGACCAACUGCUUGGGUGCCGCGCCGGCCGAGUGGACCGCUAGGGUCUCUCAGGAGCCUGGCGGGUGGGAAGAGGCCGCCGAGGACAGAGGGAGCCCGCCGGACGAGGGCGGCGUCGGGGGCACGGCCACGCGGGGCCGGCCCCGGUUGGCCCUGGGUUCCCGUGGGGCCGCGAGGUGGAAGGGCUGGGCGGCGGCGGCGGCGGCGGCGGCGGUGGCCGCGGCCGCGGGGCACUCGCGCGGCUGGACAGCGGUGGGGGCGUGGCGGGGCGAUGGGGCGACCGGUGAGGAGGGAGGAGGGGCGGGAGGAGCGUGGAGGGAGCGGCGCUGGGGCCGGGGGGGGGGGGGGCGCAAAAGGAGAGGGAGGCGGCGGGAGGCAAAAGCCUACAGCACCCGGUAUUCCCAGGCGGUCUCCCAUCCAAGUACUAACCAGGCCCGACCCUGCUUAGCUUCCGAGAUCAGACGAGAUCGGGCGCGUUCAGGGUGGUAUGGCCGUAGACGCUGGCGGCUGCCGCCGGCGCCCCUAAGAAGCCUCGCGCGCGCGCGCGCUGUCGCCUGGCCCCUGUGACGCGCCGUCGCCUGGCCUGUGACGCGCGCGCCCGAGCCCCUGUGACGCGCACCGGCCGCCCGCGUCCCCUGCGCCCCGCGCUCCGCCGCCUGCCGCCUGCCUGCCACUGCCUCCCGCCGCCGCCGCCGCCGCCGCCGCGCAGCCAAACCCUGCCCUGCCCUGCCCUGCCCUGCCCUGCCCUGCCCUGCCGCCCGCCCAGGGCGCGGGAGGCCUCGGGCACCCCGGGGACUGUGGGCGGGCGGGGCGCAAGUCUAGGCGCUCUCCCAAGCCGGCCCUGGACGCUCCAGGCCUCCUUCCCGCUGGCUUCCUGGCUAUAGAUUAGAUUCAGGAAAUAGUUUACGAUUCAAGUGCAUCCUAAAGUUGGAGCAACCCUGGCUAGAAUAUCAUAGAUCCUUGAGUUGGCAGAGACCUUUCACUCUUCAGUAUAUUUAUAUUCAACGCAAAGAUCCUUCCUUCUAUAUCAUCCUUGACAACAGACCACCUAGAUUCUGUGUAAAUAAUUCCGAUGACAAGAAAUGCAUUAAAUAAAGAGACCCCUUUGUUUUUAGAGUUUUAAAUGUUUGGUUACACUUUAUUCACUGAUCCCAGCCUUCCCUUCCAGGGCGUUGGUCUUCAAACGGGGAUAUGAAUAUCAGUGGGCAUACAUGAGAACCUUACAGAGAGCACUAGGGUAUAGUGAGUUUAAAGGAGUCAUUUUCUAGAUAUGCAACUGCCAUAGGUCGUCUUCUUCAAAGUUGACCUGCUUGAAAGGUCACUUUCUCCUGUACACCUGCCUUUCUCCUACUUUACAUGACAGACCUCUCUCCCAGCCCGAAU
ensembl:lncRNA